AAAUUGAAGAGUUUGAUCAUGGCUCAGAUUGAACGCUGGCGGCAGGCCUAACACAUGCAAGUCGAACGGUAACAGAAAGCAGCUUGCUGCUUUGCUGACGAGUGGCGGACGGGUGAGUAAUGUCUGGGAAACUGCCUGAUGGAGGGGGAUAACUACUGGAAACGGUAGCUAAUACCGCAUAACGUCGCAAGACCAAAGAGGGGGACCUUCGGGCCUCUUGCCAUCGGAUGUGCCCAGAUGGGAUUAGCUAGUAGGUGGGGUAAAGGCUCACCUAGGCGACGAUCCCUAGCUGGUCUGAGAGGAUGACCAGCCACACUGGAACUGAGACACGGU
rnacentral:rRNA from 1 species